rnacentral:rRNA from 1 species
GGACUACUCGGGUUUCUAAUCCUGUUUGCUCCCCUUGCUCUCGCGCUUCAGCGUCAGGUCUAAACUAGAAAGGCGCCUUCGCCACCGGUGUUCCUCCACGUAUCUACGCAUUUCACCGCUACACGUGGAAUUCCCCUUUCUCCGUCAAUCCUCUAGAUAGACAGUUUCAAAUGCAGCACCAAAGUUGAGCUUUGGUAUUUCACAUCUGACUUAUCCAUCCGCCUACGCGCCCUUUACGCCCAAUAAUUCCGAUUAAUGCUUGCACCCUACGUAUUACCGCGGCUGCUGGCAC